GUGCAAACAGCUUAGGGUGACACAAGUAGCUUGGGGUUAAAUUCUUGCAGUUAUUUUGGACAACAAUUCUUCAGACUUGGAGAGUGGUUUUUCUCCUUUGGUUUCCCCCCCUUCUUUUUUGCGUGGCUUAUAUACUAGACCAAGGUAAUGAACAUAAAGAAAUAGUAAGACUCAAUAUUUUGUGUAUUUUUUGGUAUCAUCAUAUGACAAUAAGUUUGAUUUUUUUUUUCCUUGUAUGUAGA
rnacentral:misc_RNA from 1 species